UAUGGUUCCUUGGAUCGUACCUACUACAUGGAUAACUGUGGUAAUUCUAGAGCUAAUACAUGCCAAUAUGCCCUGACCCGCAAGGGAACGGGUGGAUUUAUUAGAACAGAACCAAUCGGUCGCGGCUUCGGUCGUGGCCGUUUUACUCUGUGAUGACUCUGGAUAACUUUACUGAUCGCAGUCGGCCUUGUGUCGGCGACGGAUCUUUCAAAUGUCUGCCCUAUCAAUUGUCGAUGGUAGGUGAUCUGCCUACCAUGGUGAUAACGGGUAACGGGGAAUCAGGGUUCGAUUCCGGAGAGGGAGCCUGAGAAACGGCUACCACUUCUAAGGAAGGCAGCAGGCACGCAAAUUACCCAAUCCCGGCACGGGGAGGUAGUGACGAUAAAUACGGAUACGGGACUCUUCAGAGGCUCCGUAAUUCGAAUGAGUACAAUUUA
rnacentral:rRNA from 1 species